CCUACGGGUGGCAGCAGUGGGGAAUUUUGGACAAUGGGCGCAAGCCUGAUGCAGCAAUUCCGCGUGUGGGAUGACGGCCCUCGGGUUGUAAACCACUUUAGUCGAGAACGAAAAUUAGCUAUCGCAUAAAUCUCUCUGCUGAUUGUCCUCUCAGAAUCAGCACCGGCUAACUACGUGCCAGCAGCCGCGGGAAUACGUAGGGUGCGAGCGUUAAUCGGAAUUACUGGGCGUAAAGGGUGUGCAGGCGGCGGAGUAAGACAGAUGUGAAAUCCCCGGGCUUAACCUGGGAACCGCAUAUGUGACUGCUUGGCUAGAGUGAGUCAGAGGGAGGUGGAAUUCCACGUGUAGCAGUGAAAUGCGUAGAUAUGUGGAAGAACACCGAUGGCGAAGGCAGCCUGCUGGGACGUAACUGACGCUCAGACACGAAAGCGUGGGGAGCAAACAGGAUUAGAUACCCCAGUAGUC
rnacentral:rRNA from 1 species